GAUGAACGCUGGCGGCGUGCUUAACACAUGCAAGUCGAACGGAAAGGCCCUGCUUUUGUGGGGUGCUCGAGUGGCGAACGGGUGAGUAACAUGUGAGUAACCUGCCCUUGACUUUGGGAUAACUUCAGGAGACUGGGGCUAAUACCGGAUAGGAGCUCCCGCUGCAUGGUGGGGGUUGGAAAGUUUCGGCGGUUGGGGAUGGACUCGCGGCUUAUCAGCUUGUUGGUGGGGUAGUGGCUUACCAAGGCUUUGACGGGUAGCCGGCCUGAGAGGGUGACCGGCCACAUUGGGACUGAGAUACGACCCAGACUCCUACGGGAGGCAGCAGUGGGGAAUAUUGCACAAUGGGCGGAAGCCUGAUGCAGCGACGCCGCGUGCGGGAUGACGGCCUUCGGGUUGUAAACCGCUUUCGCCUGUGACGAAGCGUGAGUGACGGUAAUGGGUAAAGAAGCACCGGCUAACUACGUG
rnacentral:rRNA from 1 species